rnacentral:rRNA from 1 species
UGAGGAAUAUUGGUCAAUGGCCGCAAGGCUGAACCAGCCAAGUAGCGUGAAGGAUGACCGCCCUACGGGUCGUAAACUUCUUUUAUAAAGGAAUAAAGGCGUCCACGUGUGGAUGUUUGCAUGUACUUUAUGAAUAAGCAUCGGCUAACUCCGUGCCAGCAGCCGCGGUAAUACGGAGGAUGCGAGCGUUAUCCGGAUUUAUUGGGUUUAAAGGGAGCGCAGACGGGCUGUUAAGUCAGCUGUGAAAUGCCGCGGCUCAACCGUGGACCUGCAGUUGAUACUGGCGGCCUUGAGUGCGGUUGAGGCAGGCGGAAUUCGUGGUGUAGCGGUGAAAUGCUUAGAUAUCACGAAGAACCCCGAUUGCGAAGGCAGCCUGCCAAUCCGUUACUGACGUUCAUGCUCGAAGGUGCGGGUAUCAAACAGG